GACGAACGCUGGCGGCGUGCUUAACACAUGCAAGUCGAACGGAACGGCCCUGCUUUUGUGGGGUGCUCGAGUGGCGAACGGGUGAGUAACACGUGAGUAACCUGCCCUUGACUUUGGGAUAACUUCAGGAAACUGGGGCUAAUACCGGAUAGGAGCUCCUGCUGCAUGGUGGGGGUUGGAAAGUUUCGGCGGUUGGGGAUGGACAAGCGCCUUAUCGGCUUGUUGGUUGGGUAGUGGCUGAGCAAGGUUUUGACGGGUAGCCGGCCUGGGCGGGUGACCGGCCACAUUGGAACUGGGAUACGGCCCAGACCCCUACGGGAGGCAGCAGUGGGGAAUGUUGCACUAUGGGCGGAGGCCUGAUGCAGCAACGCCGCGUGCGGGAUGACGUCCUUCGGGUUGGGUACCGCAUUCGCUUUUGACGGAGCGUGAAUGACGGUAAUGGGUAAAGAAGCACCGGCUAACUACGUG
rnacentral:rRNA from 1 species